rnacentral:sRNA from 1 species
AUUCUGCCCAUGCGGGGAAGGAUGAGAAGCUUCGACCAAGGUUCGACUCGAGUGCCAGUGAGAGAGCGUUGCCGCAGGCAACGACCCGUAGGGCGAAGCGCGCAGCGCUGAGUAAUCCUUCCCCCACCACCA